rnacentral:antisense_RNA from 1 species
GACUUGCGGAGUUUUCCAGCCUUCAUCUUUUCUCCUUUGCUGGAUGCUUCCUGCCCUCGAACAUCAGACUCCAAGUUCUUCAGCUUUUGGAGUCUUGGACUUACUGGUGGUUAACAAGGGGUUAUCAGACCUUCAGCCACAGAUUGAAGGCUGCACUGUCAGCUUGUCUACUUUUGAGGUUUUGGGACUCAGACUGGUUCCUUGCUCCUCCGCUUGCAGACAGCCUAUUGUGGGACUUCACCUUGUGAUCAUGUGAUGCUGUGAACCCUCCCCAAGGGAGGUACCAAAAGCCUGCAUGAAGCAAAAACUGGAAACAAAUAAAGGAGAGUAUUGUGACUUUGCACUAAGUUACUCAUUUAUUCACAUAAUUAAUGAGUUUCUAUUAGUGUUAGGCACCGUUCUAGAUGAUGGUAUAAUUAGUUAACAGAAACCUCAUAACUCUCGCCCCCCAUGGAGCUUACAUUUCCAGGGAGGGAGAGAGAUGAUACAACAAUAAGAAAAUACAGAGCUAAUGUCAUUCUAUAUUGUAUAAUUAUGUAAAAUCAAGCCUGAGUAUUUG